UUAGUGGCGCACGGGUGCGUAACGCGUGGGAAUCUGCCCCUUGGUUCGGAAUAACAGUUGGAAACGACUGCUAAUACCGGAUGAUGACGUAAGUCCAAAGAUUUAUCGCCGAGGGAUGAGCCCGCGUAGGAUUAGGUAGUUGGUGUGGUAAAGGCGCACCAAGCCGACGAUCCUUAGCUGGUCUGAGAGGAUGAUCAGCCACACUGGGACUGAGACACGGCCCAGACUCCUACGGGAGGCAGCAGUGGGGAAUAUUGGACAAUGGGCGAAAGCCUGAUCCAGCAAUGCCGCGUGAGUGAUGAAGGCCUUAGGGUUGUAAAGCUCUUUUACCCGGGAUGAUAAUGACAGUACCGGGAGAAUAAGCUCCGGCUAACUCCGUGCCAGCAGCCGCGGUAAUACGGAGGGAGCUAGCGUUAUUCGGAAUUACUGGGCGUAAAGCGCACGUAGGCGGCUUUGUAAGUAAGAGGUGAAAGCCCAGAGCUCAACUCUGGA
rnacentral:rRNA from 1 species